rnacentral:rRNA from 1 species
UAAUGUAUGGGGAUCUGCCCGAUAGAGGGGAAUAACUACUGGAAACGGUGGCUAAUAUCGCAUAAUGUCUACGGACCAAAGCAGGGGCUCUUCGGACCUUGCACUAUCGGAUGAACCCAUAUGGGAUUAGCUAGUAGGUGGGGUAAAGGCUCACCUAGGCGACGAUCCCUAGCUGGUCUGAGAGGAUGAUCAGCCACACUGGGACUGAGACACGGCCCAG